AGCUCCAAGAAUUAUGGUUAAAAUUGUUGCAGUUAAAAAGCCCGUAGUUGAAAUUUGGAAUGAGAUUCGACUUGGUUACACGCGAUGUGUUGACUAGGGCGUUUCAUUCCUUUUAACUUCUGCUUGUUGUGGCGUGGUCAUUAAUUUGGUUGCGUUAUACAUCAGUGGAUCUUUUACUUUGAAAAAAUAGGCGCGUUCAAAGCAGGUCGUACGACCGUUGAACUUUCUAGCAUGGGAAAUGAAAUAGGACUUUUGUAAUAUUUUGUUGGUUUUUUAUUAUGAGAGUAAUGAUUAAUAGGAAUGGCCGGGGGGCUUGGUAUUAUGGGUCAAGUGGUGAAAUACGUUGACACCUGUAAGACCAACUUCUGCGAAGGCAAGGCCCAAGUACGUCUCCA
rnacentral:rRNA from 1 species